AUUGAACGCUGGCGGCAUGCCUUACACAUGCAAGUCGAACGGUAACAGGUCUUCGGAUGCUGACGAGUGGCGAACGGGUGAGUAAUACAUCGGAACGUGCCUAGUAGUGGGGGAUAACUACUCGAAAGAGUGGCUAAUACCGCAUGAGAUCUACGGAUGAAAGCAGGGGAUCGCAAGACCUUGUGCUACUAGAGCGGCCGAUGGCAGAUUAGGUAGUUGGUGGGAUAAAAGCUUACCAAGCCGACGAUCUGUAGCCGGUAUGAGAGGACGAUCAGCCACACUGGAACUGAGACACGGCCCAGACUCCUACGGGAGGCAGCAGUGGGGAAUUUUGGACAAUGGGCGAAAGCCUGAUCCAGCAAUGCCGAGUGCAGGAUGAAGGCCUUCGGGUUGUAAACUGCUUUUGUACGGAACGAAAAGCCCCGGGUUAAUACCCUGGGGUCAUGACGGUACCGUAAGAAUAAGCACCGGCUAACUACGUGCCAGCAGCCGCGGUAA
rnacentral:rRNA from 1 species